rnacentral:rRNA from 1 species
AGGAAAGAUGGCGGCGUGCUUAACACAUGCAAGUCGAACGAUGAAGCCCAGCUUGCUGGGUGGAUUAGUGGCGAACGGGUGAGUAACACGUGAGUAACCUGCCCUUAACUCUGGGAUAAGCCUGGGAAACUGGGUCUAAUACCGGAUAGGAGCGUCCACCGCAUGGUGGGUGUUGGAAAGAUUUAUCGGUUUUGGAUGGACUCGCGGCCUAUCAGCUUGUUGGUGAGGUAAUGGCUCACCAAGGCGACGACGGGUAGCCGGCCUGAGAGGGUGACCGGCCACACUGGGACUGAGACACGGCCCAGACUCCUACGGGAGGCAGCAGUGGGGAAUAUUGCACAAUGGGCGCAAGCCUGAUGCAGCGACGCCGCGUGAGGGAUGACGGCCUUCGGGUUGUAAACCUCUUUCAGUAGGGAAGAAGCGAAAGUGACGGUACCUGCAGAAGAAGCACCGGCUAACUACGUG